rnacentral:rRNA from 1 species
UACGGAGGGUGCAAGCGUUAUCCGGAUUCACUGGGUUUAAAGGGUGCGUAGGCGGGUUAUUAAGUCAGUGGUGAAAGCCUACAGCUUAACUGUAGAAUUGCCAUUGAUACUGAUGAUCUUGAGUAUGAUUGAGGUGGGCGGAAUGUGUCAUGUAGCGGUGAAAUGCUUAGAUAUGACACAGAACACCGAUUGCGAAGGCAGCUCACUAAGUCAUAACUGACGCUGAUGCACGAAAGCGUGGGGAGCAAACAGG